ACACUCUCGGGCACAGGAUAAGAUUGCUGGGGUGUCCUGUGCAGUGCCAGGAGUUGAUCAAUGACCAGGAGUCCCUCCCAACUCAGGACAUUCUGCCACUGUCUGACUUAGAGUGAGGUUUAUGGCACGUUUCCACCUGCAUCAUGAAGGGCAGACACAGUGCAGAACGAGACACGCAAGGAGGAUGAUCCCGGCUGGAUGAAGCAUCGGUUUUUCUCUUUCUAAUAAUAAUAAAAAAAAAAGGCAGGUUCUCUUGUGCUCCAAGCAGCUGCAGCAUCCUUCCCAGAUCCCACCCCACCUCUCUGCACCAGCUCCUGUUGGGAUUUGCACAGCAGCCUCUGGACACCAAUGGCCCACGGGGGAGGAGGAGAAGCCACAGGAGCUCCUGUACCUGCUUGCCCUGGGGCAGGAGGUUCAGCGUGCCGUACACCACCACACUGCUCUCCGUGGACAGCACCAGCCCGUUGUAGCACUGGCACUGCAGCGAGACAAAGGCAGAGAUGUGUGCCUACGUGGCAAUUCCUACAACGCCACCAGCAGUAGCCUGCGAUGCUCACUGGGAACAGGUGCCAGCCAAGUGAUCUGGGGAUUUGACACAAGGAAGAGAUUAACUGGACACCGAGAACUGAACAGAAAAUCAAGAAAUCCAAGAAAGAGACCCACAGUGUACAGGCCAGCUGCCUGAGGUUAUGCAAAAAUGCUUGAAGAUGGGCCAUUGCAGAAACAAAAUCAUCAUUUUCCCCAUUAUCUGCUCUAGGAUUUCUCAUUAACAGAUCUGCAGAGUUCUGUCAUUUAAAGUCCAAGGCAAGGCAAGCUAUCUUUGCAGAAGAUAAGAGGGCAGGUAACCUUUGCUCAAGCUGCAGGUUCCAGCACACUCUGAAGGGGUUUCAGCUUGCCUUUUAGAG